rnacentral:rRNA from 1 species
GACGAACCGUGCGAACGUUGUUCGGAAUCACUGGGCUUAAAGGGCGCGUAGGCGGGUUCGCAAGUCUGUGGUGAAAUCCUCCAGCUUAACUGGAGAAGUGCCGCGGAUACUGCGAAUCUUGAGGAGGGUAGGGGCGUCUGGAACGGUCGGUGGAGCGGUGAAAUGCGUUGAUAUCGACCGGAACUCCGGUGGCGAAGGCGAGGCGCUGGACCCUUUCUGACGCUGAGGCGCGAAAGCCAGGGGAGCAAACGGG